rnacentral:tRNA from 1 species
AUUUAAAUAAUUUAAAUAAAAUAUUGAUUUGUGGUAUCAAAAAUAUGAUUAAUUUGUCAUUUUAAAUU